CAGGCCUAACACAUGCAAGUCGAACGGAAACGAUGGGAGCUUGCUCCCAGGCGUCGAGUGGCGGACGGGUGAGUAACGCUUAGGAAUCUACCCAGUAGUGGGGGACAACAUUCGGAAACGGAUGCUAAUACCGCAUACGCACUACGGUGGAAAGUGGGGGAUCUUCGGACCUCACGCUAUUGGAUGAGCCUAAGUCGGAUUAGCUUGUUGGUGAGGUAAUGGCUCACCAAGGCGACGAUCCGUAGCUGGUCUGAGAGGACGAUCAGCCACACUGGGACUGAGACACGGCCCAGACUCCUACGGGAGGCAGCAGUGGGGAAUAUUGGACAAUGGGCGCAAGCCUGAUCCAGCAAUGCCGCGUGUGUGAAGAAGGCCUGCGGGUUGUAAAGCACUUUCAGUAGAGAAGAAAAGCCUAGGGUUAAUAGCCCUGAGUGCU
rnacentral:rRNA from 1 species